rnacentral:tRNA from 1 species
AGGGAAGUAACUCAGUGGUUAGAGUGCCGUUCUUAUAAAGCGGUGGUCGUUGGUUCAAAUCCAACCUUCCCUACCA